UACGGGGGGAGCAAGCGUUGUUCGGAUUUACUGGGCGUAAAGGGCGCGUAGGCGGCCACCGCAAUUCAGUUUUGAAAUCUCUGGGCUUAACCCAGAACGGUCAGCUGAUACUGCGGGGCUAGAGUGCAGAAGGGGCAACUGGAAUUCUCGGUGUAGCGGUGAAAUGCGUAGAUAUCGAGAGGAACACCUGCGGCGAAGGCGGGUAGCUGGGCUGGCACUGGCGCUGACAGCGCGAAAGCUAGGGGAGCGAACGGG
rnacentral:rRNA from 1 species